rnacentral:rRNA from 1 species
AGCGUUAUCCGGAUUUAUUGGGUUUAAAGGGUGCGUAGGCGGACUGAUAAGUCAGCUGUGAAAGUUUGCGGCUCAACCGUAAAAUUGCAGUUGAAACUGUUAGUCUUGAGUACAGUAGAGGUAGGCGGAAUUCGUGGUGUAGCGGUGAAAUGCUUAGAUAUCACGAAGAACUCCAAUUGCGAAGGCAGCUUUCUGGACUGUAACUGACGCUGAGGCACGAAAGUGUGGGUAUCAAACAGGAUUAGAUACCCUGGUAGUCCACACAGUAAACGAUGAAUACUCGCUGUUUGCGAUACACUGCAAGCGGCCUGGCGAAAGCAUUAAGUAUUCCACCUGGGGAG